rnacentral:rRNA from 1 species
AUUGAACGCUGGCGGCAGGCCUAACACAUGCAAGUCGAACGAGUGGCGGACGGGUGAGUAAUGUCUGGGAAACUGCCCGAUGGAGGGGGAGAACUACUGGAAACGGUAGCUAAUACCACGUACCAUCUGAUGUGAACAGAUGGGAUGAGCUUGUGGGUGAGGUAACGGCGCACAUAGGCGACGAUCCCUAGCUGGUCUGAGAGGAUGACCAGCCACAUUGGAACUGAGACACGGUCCAGCCUCCUACGGGAGGAAGCAGUGGGGAAUAUUGCACAAUGGGCGCAAGCCUGAUGCAGCCAUGCCGGGUGUAUGAAGAAGGCCUUCGGGUUGUAAAGUACUUUCAGCGGGGAGGCGUUACCCGCAGAAGAAGCACCGGCUAACUCCGUGCCAGCAGCCGCGGUAAUAC